rnacentral:rRNA from 1 species
GAUGAACGCUGGCGGCGCGCCUAACACAUGCAAGUCGAACGGUUAAAGCACCUUUUAGGUGUGUAUAAAGUGGCGAACGGCUGAGUAACACGUGGGCAACCUGCCCUCCUCUUGGGGAUAGCCUCGGGAAACCGAGGAUAAUACCCGAUACUUCAAUGUGGCCGCAUGACGACAUUGAGAAAGCUUUUGCGGAGAAGGAUGGGCCCGCGGCCUGUUAGCUUGUUGGUGGGGUAGAGGCCUACCAAGGCAAUGAUGGGUAGCUGGGUUGAGAGACCGACCAGCCAGAUUGGGACUGAGACACGGCCCAGACUCCUACGGGAGGCAGCAGUGGGGAAUCUUGCACAAUGGGCGAAAGCCUGAUGCAGCGACGCCGCGUGCGGGACGAAGGCCUUCGGGUUGUAAACCGCUUUCAGCAGGGACGAGGCGAUAAGUGACGGUACCUGCAGAAGAAGCCCCGGCUAACUACGUG